rnacentral:tRNA from 1 species
UCCCUCCGUGGUGCAGUGGUUCCUGCACCUUGGCUAUGGUCACCUUCGCAAGAAGGAGGCUACUGGUUCGAGCCCAGCCGGAGGAC